rnacentral:sRNA from 1 species
GCGAGCAAGAUGGCGCAGACGCAGGGCACCCGGAGGAAAGUCUGUUACUACUACGACGCGCCCUCACAAAGCCAAUGCUGAGGAGAUGACCAAGUACCACAGUGAUGACUACAUUAAAUUCUUGCGCUCCAUCCGUCCAGAUAACAUGUCGGAGUACAGCAAGCAGAUGCAGAGAUUCAACGUUGGUGAGGACUGUCCAGUAUUCGAUGGCCUGUUUGAGUUCUGUCAGUUGUCUACUGGUGGUUCUGUGGCAAGUGCUGUGAAACUUAAUAAGCAGCAGACGGACAUCGCUGUGAAUUGGGCUGGGGGCCUGCACCAUGCAAAGAAGUCCGAGGCAUCUGGCUUCUGUUACGUCAAUGAUAUCGUCUUGGCCAUCCUGGAACUGCUAAAGUAUCACCAGAGGGUGCUGUAUAUUGACAUUGAUAUUCACCAUGGUGACGGCGUGGAAGAGGCCUUCUAUACCACGGACCGGGUCAUGACUGUGUCCUUUCAUAAGUAUGGAGAGUACUUCCCAGGAACUGGGGACCUACGG